rnacentral:rRNA from 1 species
UUCCUUUAGAAAAUAUUUAAAGGUAUUACCUGCCCAAUGUGAUUAAUUAAUGGCUGCGGUAUCCUAACUGCACUAAGGUAGCAUAAUUAAUUGUCUUUUAAAUGGUGACUUGUUUGAAUGGUUUAAUGAGAGAAAUAUUUUCUUUAUAUUGUUAAUAAUUUAUAUUUUAGGUCAAAAUACCUAAAUAAAAAAGAAAGACGAGAAGACCCUGUUGAGUUUUACAAUAAUUAUUGUUUAAAUGGGAAAUUUAAUUUCAUAUUGAAAUUUCUAUGAUCCUUUAAAAAGGAAACAGGAUAAAAUUACCACAGGGAUAACAGGACUAUAUUUAUUGAGAGUUCAUAUUGAAAUAAAUGUUUGUUACCUCGAUGUUGAAUCGAAAUUUCUUCUUGGUGCAGCAGCUAAAGAAGUAGGUCUGUUCGACCUUUAAAAUUUCACG